UGUAUUUCAGUUCAUUUAACAGAUCCGUGAUUUACAAUAAGGAACCCGGGCAAAACAGGAUGAGGUCUUUGGAUUUCAUAUAAUCUCAUUUCUCCAGCAGUUUAUUUUAUAACGCUAAUUAAAUCUCCUGUUGCAGGAGCGCACGGAUGACAAGAAGAAAGUAUUUCAGUUAGCUGCAGCACAUCUGCAGGCACCUGAGGGCGGCGAUAAAAAGCCGGAACAAGAGAGCGACAUUACUAGUAUGGAGUCGUCCGCCCGCUCCACCUCCCCUCCACGCCGCAACGGCAGCAUCACCAACUUCGAAUCUCCCGUUCGCCAUGGCAACAGCAUCCGGACCAUAACGCAGUCGGCUUCACGGCCUGACAUCCCUAGAGCUGCUGGAGCGACGCAGAGCCCCACUGUCCCUGUGCGGCAGAAACACAAAGCGGAGCCCGUGGCCAGUAGUUCUUUCAGAAUGUACAGCAGCCCCUCAGUUCCUCAAAGACAAGUACGACGAGUGGAGUACAUACCCAUCAGG